GACGAACGCUGGCGGCGUGCCUAACACAUGCAAGUCGAACGGAAAGACCCUGCUCUUGUGGGGUUCUCGAGGGGGGAAGGGGGGAGUAACACGUGAGUAACCUGCCCUUGACUUUGGGAUAACUUCAGGAAACUGGGGCUAAUACCAGAUAGGAGCUGCUGCUCCAGGGAGGGCGUUGGAAAGUUGGGGCGGUUGGGGAUGGACUCGCGGGUGAUCAACUUGUUUGUUGGGUAGGGGCUUGCCAAGGCAGUGAAGGGUAGGCGGCCUGAGAGGGUGGACGGCCACAUUACGACUGGGGUACGGCGCAGUCUAGAAUGGUAGGCAACGGUGGGGAGUCUUACACAGCGGGACGGAGCCUGAUGAGACGGCGCCGCGUGCGGGAAGACGUCCUUCGGGUUGAGAACCGCAUUCGCCUGUGACGACGCGUGAGUGACGGUACCGGAUGAAGAAGCACCGGCUAACUACGUG
rnacentral:rRNA from 1 species